rnacentral:rRNA from 1 species
GAUGAACGCUAGCGAUAGGCUUAACACAUGCAAGUCGAGGGGCAGCACAAGGUAGCUUGCUAUCUGGGUGGCGACCGGCGCACGGGUGCGUAACGCGUAUGCAACUUGCCCUAUACAGGAGGAUAACCCGUCGAAAGACGGACUAAUACUGCGUAUGCUCACAACUUGGCAUCAAGUGGUGAGGAAAGAAAUUCGGUAUAGGAUAGGCAUGCGUCCCAUUAGCUUGUUGGUGAGGUAACGGCUCACCAAGGCAACGAUGGGUAGGGGAACUGAGAGGUUUAUCCCCUACACUGGUACUGAGACACGGACCAGAAUCCUACGGGAGGCAGCAGUGAGGAAUAUUGGGCAAUGGGCGCGAGCCUGAACCAGCCAAGUCGCGUGAAGGAGGACUGUCUUAUGGAUUGUAAACUUCUUUUAUACGGGAAUAACAAGAGUCACGUGUGACUCCCUGCAUGUACCGUAUGAAUAAGCAUCGGCUAACUCCGUG